GUGGGGAAUUUUGGACAAUGGGCGCAAGCCUGAUCCAGCAAUGCCGCGUGCAGGAAGAAGGCCUUCGGGUUGUAAACUGCUUUUGUAUGGAACGAAACGGUCCGGGUUAAUACCCUGGGCUAAUGACGGUACCGUAAGAAUAAGCACCGGCUAACUACGUGCCAGCAGCCACGGUAAUACGUAGGGUGCAAGCGUUAAUCGGAAUUACUGGGCGUAAAGCGUGCGCAGGCGGUUUUGUAAGACAGGCGUGAAAUCCCCGGGCUCAACCUGGGAAUUGCGCUUGUGACUGCAAGGCUGGAGUGCGGCAGAGGGGGAUGGAAUUCCGCGUGUAGCAGUGAAAUGCGUAGAUAUGCGGAGGAACACCGAUGGCGAAGGCAAUCCCCUGGGCCUGCACUGACGCUCAUGCACGAAAGCGUGGGGAGCAAACAGGAUUAGAAACCCUUGUAGUCC
rnacentral:rRNA from 1 species